UCGAAACCCCAAUUCACACUUAGCCAGCUCAAGAAGGCCAUCCCCCCACAUUGUUUCCAGCGAUCCGUUCUCCACUCAUUCUCCUAUGUGAUUUCCGACCUCACAUGGGCAUCUCUCUUAUAUUACAUUGCUACCAAUUAUUUCCACCUCCUUCCUCAUCCUCUCUCCUACCUGGCCUGGCCAAUUUACUGGGCCUUCCAAGGUUGCAUCCUAACUGGCGUUUGGGUCAUAGCACAUGAAUGUGGCCACCAUGCCUUCAGUGACUACCAAUGGCUUGAUGACACUGUUGGCCUCAUCCUACAUUCCUCUCUCCUUGUACCUUACUUCUCCUGGAAAUAUAGCCAUCGCCGCCAUCAUUCUAAUACCGGUUCCCUCGAGAAGGAUGAAGUCUUUGUCCCCAAAACCAAAUCCAAACUCGGAUGGUACUCCAAAUACCUGAACAAUCCACUUGGUCGAUUCGUCACACUCACCAUUCAACUCACUCUAGGCUGGCCUUUGUACCUAAUGUUCAACGUUUCAGGCAGGCGCUACAGUAGAUUUGCUUGCCACUUUGAUCCACAUGGUCCAAUUUACUCAGAUCGUGAGCGACUGCAGAUAUACAUUUCAGAUGCUGGUGUUCUUGCCAUCACCUAUGGACUUUACCGUCUUGCAGUAUCAAAAGGUCUCACAUGGGUUUUGUGUGUUUAUGGAUGUCCCUUGCUGAUUGUGAAUGGAUUUCUGGUGCUGAUAACGUAUUUGCAGCAUACCCACCCGUCUCUGCCACACUAUGAUUCCUCUGAGUGGGACUGGUUGAGAGGAGCUUUGGCCACCAUGGAUAGAGACUAUGGAAUUCUUAACAAGGUUUUCCAUCAUAUAACGGAUACUCAUGUGGCACACCAUUUGUUCUCAACAUUGCCGCAUUAUCAUGCAAUGGAGGCUACAAAGGCCAUAAAGCCAGUAUUAGGAGAUUAUUAUCAGUUUGAUGGGACUCCAUUUUACAAGGCAAUGUGGAGAGAGGCAAAGGAGUGUGUCUAUGUCCAGUCGGAUGGUGACAAGAGCAAAGGUGUUUUCUGGUACCAGAAUAAGUUUUGAUGACUUAAACUGGUGAUGUUUGUUUCGGCAUGUUCUAGUUUCUUCUUAGGAUUUUAGCUUCCCGUUAUUGUUAACUUAGCCAUGUCUGUGCUUGUAC
rnacentral:lncRNA from 1 species